rnacentral:misc_RNA from 1 species
GAUGAAGAACGCAGCGAAAUGCGAUAAGUAAUGCGAAUUGCAGAAUCCGUGAGUCAUCGAAUCUUUGAACGCACAUUGCGCCCUUUGGUAUUCCGAAGGGCAUGCCUGUUCGAGCGUCAUUAUCACCCCCCAAGCCCCGGCUUGGUGUUGGGCUCUCGGUGGUCGUCUCCGACCACCCGUCUCAAAGAUAGUGACGGCGUCCCAGAGGGAACCGGUACGAGGAGCUUUCACGAGCAUGUACGCGGGACGACUCUGCGGGCGACGGUCUUAUUUACUUUAUAUACAAGUGUUGACCUCGGAUCAGGUAGGAAUACCCGCUGAACUUAAGCAUAUCAAUAAGCGGAGGA